AGACCCUUAGGAGCUUGUCAUGCGGUUAAAAUCAAGAUUCACUUGCACAUUCACUCACACAUGCUGCUUCUACUCCGGAAGUACGCAUCCACAUAUAUCCACCCAUUUCCAUCUCCAGAACCACCCAAAAAUAUUCUACUCCUAAUCUGGGAGAGAAUAGCCAAAAACAUUCUCCUAUUUCUGUUUUCCCCUGUGAAAUAAAUGCUCAAGUUAUUCCGGUUACUACCACUUGCUACAUUAUUUAAAGAGGUGAGUGGUCUAAAAAAAGUGAAUACGAGGAAAUAAAAAGGGGCAAGUGCCCGGAACCUCGAAGAAAAGAAAAAGUGAGACGAGAGGUAAAAAUGGACAAGUGUCCGACAGUAGAAUUAGGGGUACAAGAUACCCACCUGAGAGAAAAGAAAAAAAUAAAAUAGAGAGCAUCUCAUUCCCUUCAAAAGUCUCAAGUGCAAGGAAGGUAUGAACCCCCUCAGAAGUGCAAUUAGACUUUCACCAUUGUUAUCACCAUCAUUACCAUACACCAUUCAUUCGCCACACAUGCACAUCUUGAUUUGACUUAUUGACUUGUUUUUCUAGAUCCAUGGUUUGACUAUGCAAUAAAUGUCUUGUAAGUAUGUAUUAGCUGCCUCCCACUUAUGAGCUCCAGAUAUCAAAACCUUAUUAGAGUAGGGUGAGAGAGAAGGCAAUGCCACUAUGCCUCAUACCAAAAAUACCACAUACUUUGAGAGAAGGCAUGCACCAUUACUGCCUUGGUAAGGAUCCAGAAAUACCACAAAAGAGAGACUAGAGAGAGUCAUACAAGGAAUCUCUGAGUUUUAUUUGAAAAUCUACAAAAACUCCAGAGCUAUAGUUAAUCAAAGAACAAGAGACAUGG
rnacentral:lncRNA from 1 species